GAUGAACGCUAGCGGCAGGCUUAAUACAUGCAAGUCGAGGGGCAGCAGGGAUAGCAAUAUUCGCUGGCGACCGGCGCACGGGUGCGUAACACGUAUACAAUCUGCCUUUUACAGGGGGAUAGCCUUUCGAAAGAGAGAUUAAUACCCCAUAAUAGUUGACCGGGCAUCUGGUUGAUUUGAAAGCUCCGGCGGUAAGAGAUGAGUAUGCGCCUGAUUAGCUAGUAGGUGAGGUAACGGCUCACCUAGGCUACGAUCAGUAGGGGAUCUGAGAGGACUAACCCCCACACGGAUACUGAGACACGGAUCCGACUCCUACGGGAGGCAGCAGUAAGGAAUAUUGGACAAUGCCCGCAAGGGUGAUCCAGCCAUGCCGCGUGCAGGAAGAAGGCCCUAUGGGUCGUAAACUGCUUUUACACCGGAGAAAACCUCCCCUCGUGAGGGGAGCUGAUAGUAUGGUGAGAAUAAGCAUCGGCUAACUUCGUGCCAGCAG
rnacentral:rRNA from 1 species